rnacentral:rRNA from 1 species
GACGAACGCUGGCGGCGUGCUUAACACAUGCAAGUCGAACGGAAAGGCCCUGCUUUUGUGGGGUGCUCGAGUGGCGAACGGGUGAGUAACACGUGAGUAACCUGCCCUUGACUUUGGGAUAACUUCAGGAAACUGGGGCUAAUACCGGAUAGGAGCUCCUGCUGCAUGGUGGGGGUUGGAAAGUUUCGGCGGUUGGGGAUGGACUCGCGGCUUAUCAGCUUGUUGGUGGGGUAGUGGCUUACCAAGGCUUUGACGGGUAGCCGGCCUGAGAGGGUGACCGGCCACAUUGGGACUGAGAUACGGCCCAGACUCCUACGGGAGGCAGCAGUGGGGAAUAUUGCACAAUGGGCGGAAGCCUGAUGCAGCAACGCCGCGUGCGGGAUGACGGCCUUCGUGUUGUAAACCGCUUUCACCUGUGACGAAGCGUGAGUGACGGUAAUGGGUAAAGAAGCACCGGCUAACUACGUG